rnacentral:misc_RNA from 1 species
GGAAGAGCUAGUGUUUCAAACAACUCAUGCAUUUACGGGUCUGUUUUGUGAUUCACCUGGUUUACUUCCGACCUCGCCUUGACUGGAUUCGAUCUCUGAGUUUGCUGUGCUGCUCUUCUGGCUCCGACGAUCCUCACGUGAUGGGUAGUCAUCAGCUUCAAGCAUCCUAACAACUUGGGUCAUUUUUGGUCUCUUAUCUGCCUCAGGAUCCACACACCUAAGUGCAAUCAGAAGGGCACGUUUCAAUGCUCGUGUAGCGGGUUUAGUUUCAAGACUUGGGUCAAUAACUUC